rnacentral:rRNA from 1 species
GACGGAGGAUGCAAGCGUUAUCCGGAAUGAUUGGGCGUAAAGCGUCUGCAGGUGGCAGUUCAAGUCUGCUGUCAAAGACCGGGGCUUAACUUCGGAAAGGCAGUGGAAACUGAACAGCUAGAGUAUGGUAGGGGCAGAGGGAAUUCCUGGUGUAGCGGUGAAAUGCGUAGAGAUCAGGAAGAACAUCGGUGGCGAAGGCGCUCUGCUGGACCAUAACUGGCACUCAGGGACGAAAGCUAGGGGAGCGAAUGGG